UACGAAGGGGGCUAGCGUUGCUCGGAAUCACUGGGCGUAAAACGCACGUAGGCGGAUUGUUAAGUCAGGGGUGAAAUCCUGGAGCUCAACUCCAGAACUGCCUUUGAUACUGGCGAUCUUGAGUCCGGGAGAGGUGAGCGGAACUGCGAGUGUAGAGGUGAAAUUCGUAGAUAUUCGCAAGAACACCAGUGGCGAAGGCGGCUCACUGGCCCGGUACUGACGCUGAGGUGCGAAAGCGUGGGGAGCAAACAGG
rnacentral:rRNA from 1 species